AUGUCAAGCUCCGAUACUUGCCCAUUUUGCAAUGAGCAAGAAACCACAAGUCACUUACUGUUGAACUGCCACUCCAUCAAGUUGCUUUGGGACAAUCUUCUUCUUCUUCGGCCUCCAGAAGUCGAACAUAUUCAAGAUAUUUGGUCUAACCCUUCAAUUGAUAAAGUUCGCUCUACAGUUAUCAUUGCCAUUCUUUGGUCUAUUUGGAAGCGGAGAAAUGUUAUGGUCUUCCAUGCUCACGAUGAGGAUCUGUAUGUCACUCUACGACGAUCUGGAGAGGAUCUUGUGUUCUGGUCUAAUCGCUGCAAAAAUGCGGUCAAGCAGACCCUUCUAAAGGACUGGGGUUCCAUGUUGUAUCACUUAUCUACGAGAAUUUAG
rnacentral:rRNA from 1 species